AUGCAAGGCCUUCACCGCCGCCAAGCUCCUGCCGCCGGUGGCCGUGAGCUUCAGGGGAGACCCCAUCCUCUUUCCCUCCUAGAUCCACCACGCAGCUCGCUCAUGCACCGGGAUGCCGACGCCAUGGAGGACGCUGCUCCACCCCUGCUCCGCUCUGUGCCCCCGACGCUAUGGAGGACGCCGCUCCUCCCCUACUCCAGCCUCAAGACCCAUGUCCUCAGGGUGAACAUACACUGCGACGGCUGCAAGCACAAGGUCAAGAAGCUGCUCCAGAAGAUCGAAGAUAAUCAGAGCCAACAAGUUGUUCCAGAUGUUCACUUAAAGUCCAUAAUUAUUUAG
rnacentral:rRNA from 1 species